CGUCGAAGGUGGGGCUGAUGACUGGGGUGAAGUCGUAACAAGGUAUCCGUACCGGAAGGUGCGGAUGGAUCACCUCCUAACAGGGAGACAACACAAUGAUUUUGAUGCCUGAGUGCUUUUAUUCUUAGGCCGAAAUCCUGUCACCUUAGGUCGAUCGGUACCUCAGCUUUGAAGUCAAGGAUCAGCAGCAAUGUUGAUUGCUUGAUGGAGAUUUUCAGUUCCUAAACUUUGUCUAGGUCACACCCCAAAAGGGAUGAGACUCCUGGGCCAUUAGCUCAGGUGGUUAGAGCGCACCCCUGAUAAGGGUGAGGUCCCUGGUUCAAGUCCAGGAUGGCCCAUUCGGUGUUGGGGGUUUAGCUCAGUUGGUAGAGCGCCUGCUUUGCAAGCAGGAUGUCAGGAGUUCGAGUCUCCUAACCUCCACUGACCGAACUUGAUUCCCAUCUCCAAUUUUUUUGGAGUUGAGCUCGAUUGGAGUGUGAUUUAGAUGUGUCCGCUGGAUGACCCCAGCUUCCUGUCAUUCCAAGUUUUAGGUUAAAGCCUUGAAUUUGGUUGAUAAGAUGCUGGGCUCGGAUCAAAUGAUCAAGCAAUUGAUGAUUUGAUUUGAAGUUCUAGCAGAACCUUGACAACUGCAUAGGUGAGUCUGGAAAAAACAAAGCAUCUUACAGAUGCAUUGUUUUGAAUCUGAUCUUCUGAAAGGGAGAUUGGAUCUAGAACAAUGAAAAUUCUUUUGAGCAAGAGCCGAGACUCUUGAACGUUCUUUGAUUGGUGUCGAGCCAAUCAGAGUUUGAUCUUGUUUUUAGCAAUAAAAACUUGAGAAUCUGCUUUCAACGGCGGUAAGCGUUUAAGAGGUUAAUUGGUCAAGCUACAAAGGGCUCACGGCGG
rnacentral:misc_RNA from 1 species